GCUGAUAUAGUGUAGAGGCCAAUCAUGCCGGCCUUUCACGCCGGCGACUCGGGUUCGAAUCCCGAUAUCAGCA
rfam:Methanocorpusculum labreanum Z, complete genome.